UACGUAGGAGGCGAGCGUUGUCCGGAGUUACUGGGCGUAAAGGGUGCGCAGGCGGUGGCCCGCGUGGGCGGUGAAAGCUCCUGGCUCAACUGGGAGAGGGCCGUCCAGACGGGGUCACUUGAGGGGCGGAGAGGGGCGUGGAAUUCCGGGUGGAGCGGUGGAAUGCGUAGAGAUCCGGAAGAACACCGGUGGCGAAGGCGGCCUGCUGGGCAGUAGCUGACGCUGAUGCGCGACAGCGUGGGGAGCAAACAGG
rnacentral:rRNA from 1 species